GUGCUUGCUUCAGCACAUAUACUAAAAUUGGAAUGAUACAGAGAAGAUUAGCAUGGCCCCUGUGCAAGGAUGACACCCAAAUUCGCGAAGCGCUAAAAAAUAUA